rnacentral:rRNA from 1 species
AUCCUGCCAGUAGUCAUACGCUCGUCUCAAAGAUUAAGCCAUGCAUGUGUAAGUAUAAGAAUACUUUUAUCGAAACUGCGGACGGCUCAUUAUAUCAGUUAUAGUUUAUUUGAUAAUCCCUCACUACUUGGAUAACCGUAGUAAUUCUAGAGCUAAUAUAUGCAUCAAAGCGGAACUCUCGGGAACCGCCGUGUUUAUUAGUAUUAACCUUCACUCUUCGGAGUUGAUUUGGUGAGUUCAUAAUAACCUUUCGAAUUGCAUGACCACGUGUCGGCAAGAUCAUUCAACUUUCUGCCCUAUCAGCUUGGGAUGGUAGUGUAUUGGACUAACCAUGGCUUAACGGGUAUACGAAUUGUUAGGCAAGAUUUCGGAGAGGGAGCCUGAGAGACGGCUACCACAUCCAAGGAAGG